rnacentral:rRNA from 1 species
GGGGAAUAUUGGACAAUGGGGGCAACCCUGAUCCAGCCAUGCCGCGUGUGUGAAGAAGGUCUUCGGAUUGUAAAGCACUUUAAGUUGGGAGGAAGGGCUUGCGGUUAAUACCUGCAAGUUUUGACGUUACCGACAGAAUAAGCACCGGCUAACUCUGUGCCAGCAGCCGCGGUAAUACAGAGGGUGCAAGCGUUAAUCGGAAUUACUGGGCGUAAAGCGCGCGUAGGUGGUUCAGUAAGAUGGAAGUGAAAUCCCCGGGCUUAACCUGGGAACUGCUUUCAUAACUGCUGGGCUAGAGUACGGUAGAGGGUAGUGGAAUUUCCUGUGUAGCGGUGAAAUGCGUAGAUAUAGGAAGGAACACCAGUGGCGAAGGCGACUACCUGGACUGGUACUGACACUGAGGUGCGAAAGCGUGGGGAGCAAAC